UGGGCUCAGCGAUUGUUGCUCCUGCAUGAUGCAAAGUUUGCUCUUGAUUUAUCCCAGGAAUUACAGAAUUCAUAAAAUAAUAACACAAACAUGAAACCACUGCCCUCAAAAAGCUAGAGAGUUUUGCUCACAGCUUAGGUUAUGAAGCGAAAUGUGUAGGAAUGUGCAAGAAGAAUGUGAGAGAAACAUGAGAGAAAAUACAGCACAAAUAUUCCUUGUUGUUAUUUGCAGUUUGCUGGGGGACCUGAGGCAAAACUGAACUCCUGGGCCCCCUAUACUGUACUGCCUAAGCUCUGGUUAGCCGGAUGGUAAUUUGAUUUUAAACACACAAAACGGAAAUAAUGAAAGUUUUAAAACUAGAUUUUGACACGAGAUAUUGCCUCAAUAUUAGGAAAUAAUGUACCUUAAGAUCCUUUGCUUUGUGACUUCAUAUUGUGCUGUAAAGUCUGAAGCUUAUGGGUCCCUGGAGAGCUUUGUUCCCCUUGCAGUUUGUUGGUAAACCAGCUUUGGUUAUUAGUGGCAUGAAUGAAACAUGUUAUUCAUUUGAUUUGCUCUAAACUAAAUUACUCAGUGGUAGAAAGCCAUUUAUGUAAACUGACAUUCGUCAACAAUCCUCUGUGCAAUUAUACACAAUUUGUGCAGUAUAUUUUUAAACGUUAACAAUCCUGUGACAGUAGAGUCUCUUAGCACCACAGAAAAGCAGCCCAAAAAGGUUUGAAACUGAGUUUAUCAAGUAACCAUUACAGGCAGAUUACACAUAAAUCACCAUCUGGGGGAUUUAGAAACCAUAAAUCCAAGGCUAUUUGAAAAAUGGCCAAGUCUUUGUAUAUAUACUCUGUGUGUGUGCGUGUGUGUGUGCGUGUGUGUGUGUGUGUGUGUGUGUGUGUGUGUGUGUGUGUGUGUGUGUGUGUGUGUGUGUGUGUGUGUGCGUGCGUGUGUGUGUGUGUGCGUGUCGUGCCACUCUGAAGAAUGUGUUGUACAAGUGGACAAAACACCCCAGUUUUACUGUGUAUCUAAAGGGAACCUGAGGUCAAACACACAAACACACUUAGUGGCAACCACCGUGAAAUGAUCUACCAGGGAAGUUACAGCACGAACAAGAGCUCACAGAUGUGUCCUCGCCCACAAAAGUAACUUCUCAGUGCUUCUUUUUCUGCUCACGCUGCCCUCCAAUGCCAAACAGUAUGCAGGUUUCCUCCGGCUGCUUUCUCUCCAUCACCUCUUUCACAUCCCUUCCACCUGUACCAUCGCAACUCCUUCCCCUCUGCAGUCACUGUGUGUGUGUGUGUGUGUGUGUGAGGAGCAGUAAUGGUGGUUUAUUAAAGUGUCAGAGGCGGUUUCUGCCUGUCCUCGGCACAGGAACGCACUGAGCGUCCUCGGAGAACAGUCAAUUUUGGCGACACGCGUGUGUUUUUUCCUCAUUUUUUUUGCCGUCGUAUAUGAAAACAGCAGCUUUGCCAACUUCUAAUAGAGGCGGCGGCCAGGCUUUUGUAACCUUUGUGCUGUAAAUGGCGCAGAGGUUUACUCACAAUGGGACAUAAUCGUGCUGAAAUGCACUCUUGUUGCUAAAUCAGUGGCGUUUUGUCCCUGGCAACUGGCUGCCUUUUCUCUUCCCUCUCUCUGGGUCUCUUUGUCUCUCUCCGCUGUCCUUAUUACGCCAUUUUCAGCAUCUACCCUGUGGUUUCUGCUCAGUCGUCCCCUUUAGAGGUGUCACGACCGAUGUGCGUGAACACACCGGGGGGAUUUAUUGUUCAAGCAGGGCACAGCGGCAAAGGUGUUACGUGUUGUACGGGUACACGGUAUUGAGGAUUUACUGUAAAACACACACCAAACACACAGUCACAGUCAGGGUUUAAAGGCCCUGGUGACAUUUUUUGACCCUCGUCCCAAAUCUGGGCCGGCAGAAUUGAAGCAGUACCAAACUGAUAUGAUCCCAACCCCCCCUCCCCCGUCCGCUCUUUCUUCUGUCAGUUGGAUCGGCAUUGUUGGCCCGUUUUGUGGAGAAGCAUUAGUCAAAUGGGCCAUCAUCCCCAUCGGCGAGUCAGAUGAUGACUUUUGGCAGAAUGCAGCCGCAGCCCGAUGCCAGACAAUCAGAGCCGUUGCCAUUUCAUCACGCGGACGCACAGCCACGCACGCAGACUCACACCACAAACAAGCUGUUUCUCAUUAAGCCCGCAAACACGAGAGAUCGAGUGCGAGAAAACGGGAGGUGAGGAAGGAGGAGAGACGGGGAGCUGAGGGCCUCUUCCUCUUCCAAAGAGACGCCCGCUUACCCGACACCCUCAGCUAGCCUCACCCCACGCCCCCCUCCGACACUGCUGUUCUCAUAGCAACCAGAUACGGGGAGGAGGCGGUGGGUGAAGACGAGAGGAAGUGUGCUGAAGAUUAGGGUGGAAUUUUGCUGCGGCUGCUGCCUGGAUUUGACCAAUCUGGUGUUGAGGCUUUAAGAUGCUCUAAUUCCUUUCCCCGUCCUUCCCUCUAUCACGUGCACACACACACACACACACACACGCACACACACACACACACACACACAAUCGCACAGAAGCUCCAGGUCAGGCUGACGUGAGCUAGAAAGCAUAAUUUUAGGGAGAUAUUUCUAGGAACUGCACUGUCGAAUGAGGAUGAACUGGGAUGGACUAAAGCAAGUUUU